AGCUCCCCCCAUACCACCCUGAAUGCACCCAAUCUCGUCUAAUCUUGGAAGCUAAGCAGGGUCGGGCCUGGUUAGUACUUGGAUGGGUGACUGGCUUUCUUAACCGAAGAGGAACUU
ensembl:rRNA 5S_rRNA 5S ribosomal RNA